rnacentral:rRNA from 1 species
UACGUAGGGUGCAAGCGUUAUCCGGAAUUAUUGGGCGUAAAGAGCUCGUAGGCGGUUUGUCGCGUCUGCUGUGAAAACUGGAGGCUCAACCUCCAGCCUGCAGUGGGUACGGGCAAACUAGAGUGCGGUAGGGGAGAUUGGAAUCCUGGUGUAGCGGUGGAAUGCGCAGAUAUCAGGAGGAACACCGAUGGCGAAGGCAGAUCUCUGGGCCGUAACUGACGCUGAGGACGAAAGCAUGGGGAGCGAAACAGG